AUUGAACGCUGGCGGCAUGCUUUACACAUGCAAGCCGAACGGUAACAGGGUGCUUGCACCGCUGACGAGUGGCGAACGGGUGAGUAAUGCGUCGGAACGUGCCGAGUAGUGGGGGAUAACGCAGCGAAAGUUGUGCUAAUACCGCAUACGUACUGAGGUAGAAAGUGGGGGACCUUCGGGCCUCACGCUACUCGAGCGGCCGACGUCGGAUUAGCUAGUAGGUGAGGUAAAGGCUCACCUAGGCGACGAUCAGUAGCGGGUCUGAGAGGAUGAUCAGCCACACUGGGACUGAGACACGGCCCAGACUCCUACGGGAGGCAGCAGUGGGGAAUUUUGGACAAUGGGCGAAAGCCUGAUCCAGCCAUGCCGCGUGUCUGAAGAAGGCCUUCGGGUUGUAAAGGACUUUUGUCGGGGAGGAAAUCCCCAGCGUUAAUACCGCUGGGGGAUGACAGUACCUGAAGAAUAAGCACCGGCUAACUACGUGCCAGCAGCCGCCGUAAGAC
rnacentral:rRNA from 1 species